CUAAUUUUCCAAUAAAAUUAAUUUAUAAUAUUGGAAUUAGUUAAGUUUACCGCCACACCACCCCGUUAGGUACUGUACUGCUGUGUCCCCCAGGACUCAUUUAGACUAAAACUUGGGUUGAAACACGACGACCCUCUUCAAGGGAAGAUGUUGUUUGAUAAUACGGGCGUGAGUCUUCUCACUUUACAAUACUGUAUACUCCAAAAUCCCAUAUUAUCUGGGAGUUAACAGUACUGUAUUAUUAUUCAGGAUCAGAAAUGUGAGUAUUUUCUUACACUGGGUUAAGUAAGGCUGUUGAUUUUCAUAGAUUCAGAGUAGGCUGUGUCGGAAACUCAAUACUGAACUCCCAAACUGAAGACAACUUAUGGAAGGACCACCUUUAAUAGUCUUGAAACCUGAAUUGUCUGCUACUUCAUGAUAAUUACACCAACAAGGACUAUUUUAUAUGUAUUUAAGAAGAGUUUUUGUUAAUGUUAACAUUACAAGUAUCAGAAAAGUCUUGUUUCAUUACUUCUUGUAUAUAACUUGGGUUUUCUGAUAGAGGUUUAAAAUAUAUAGUGGUGCCUUUCAGAUCUUACCUAUUCUAAACCUAGAGAAUCAUAUUGCUGGCCUUAGUGUUAAGUUAAAUGACAUGAAUGAUCCUCUCUGAAACAUCUUGUCCAGUUCACAUUUUAAACUUGCUCUCCCAAACAUCACUUGCACUAACAACCUCCAGUCCACAGAGAAAUAAAAGUAUAAAUGUGCAGUUAGUCAAAAAGCAUCAGUGAGAGCUAGAGUAAUGAACCCAAUACAAACAAUGAUCUCACUCAGUCUCUUAAGUAUGGAGUCCUUGCAGGAAAGCGCUACAAAAUGAUUAUUGAAUACUAAAUCUCUUCUUCCUGUAUGUCCUGCUUACACACAGUAUACAGUAUUGUACUGUACUAGAAAGAAGAGCAUCACAUAGGUCACUCUCUAGUCUCGAAUUUAAAAAUGAACUUUUCUUUUUUUGUUAUUACCUCAACUUCAGUCAAAGUUAGUAUGUUGUGUAAACUACUGUAGGUUACACGGUGUUAGUAUGUUGUGUAAACUACUGUAGGUUACACGGUGUUAGUAUGUUGUGUAAACUACUGUAGGUUACACGGUGUUAGUAUGUUGUGUAAACUACUGUAGGUUACACGGUGUUAGUAUGUUGUGUAAACUACUGUAGGUUACACGGUGUUAGUAUGUUGUGUAAACUACUGUAGGUUACACGGUGUUAGUAUGUUGUGUAAACUACUGUAGGUUACACGGUGUUAGUAUGUUGUGUAAACUACUGUAGGUUACACGGUGUUAGUAUGUUGUGUAAACUACUGUAGUUACACGGUGUUAGUAUGUUGUGUAAACUACUGUAGGUUACACGGUGUUAGUACGUUGUGUAAACUACUGUAGGUUACACGGUGUUAGUACGUUGUGUAAACUACUGUAGGUUACACGGUGUUAGUACGUUGUGUAAACUACUGUAGGUUACACGGUGUUAGUAUGUUGUGUAAACUACUGUAGGUUACACGGUGUUAGUAUGUUGUAUAAACUACUGUAGGUUACACAGUGUUAGUAUGUUGUGUAAACUACUGUAGGUUACACAGUGUUAGUAUGUUGUGUAAACUACUGUAGGUUACACGGUGUUAGUAUGUUGUAUAAACUACUGUAGGUUACACAGUGUUAGUAUGUUGUGUAAACUACUGUAGAUUACACGGUGUUAGUAUGUUGUAUAAACUACUGUAGGUUACACGGUGUUAGUAUGUUGUGUAAACUACUGUAGGUUACACGGUGUUAGUAUGUUGUGUAAACUACUGUAGGUUACACGGUGUUAGUAUGUUGUGUAAACUACUGUAGGUUACACAGUGUUUGUAUGUUGUAUAAACUACUGUAGGUUACACGGUGUUAGUACGUUGUGUAAACUACUGUAGGUUACACGGUGUUAGUACGUUGUGUAAACUACUGUAGGUUACACGGUGUUAGUAUGUUGUGUAAACUACUGUAGGUUACACGGUGUUAGUAUGUUGUGUAAACUACUGUAGGUUACACGGUGUUAGUAUGUUGUGUAAACUACUGUAGGUUACACGGUGUUAGUAUGUUGUGUAAACUACUGUAGGUUACAUGGUGUUAGUAUGUUGUGUAAACUACUAUAGGUUACACGGUGUUAGUAUGUUGUGUAAACUACUGUAGGUUACAUGGUGUUAAUAUAUUGUGUAAAAGGCUUUAGGUUACAUGAAGUUGAUACAAUAUGUUGUAGUCUACCGUGGGUUUCACAAGAUAGUUGCAUUGUGCAGGGUUCAGGUUGCUGCUAAGGUUUCAUAAGGCUGUUAGCUUUUGUCAGUAAUGAUAAGUUGUGUCGAUGUCCUUUUUAUUUUAUUUAUAUUAUUUAUACCCAGUAUCUUGUGUAAGGUCAAGUAAGUGUCAGAAAUAAAAUAUUUGUCUACAGUUCCUGAACUUGUAAUCUUGCUCUUUUAAGUUGGGUAUGUUGAAGAUUGACAAAAUGUGAAGGAAACUACAGUAUUGAUCAUCUCUACUAAGAGUGAACAUAUAUUCAGUUUAACCAGAUCUCCAUUAUCUCAGCACCUACAAGCAUUUUCAUGUAAGUGUAUGAGUUACGUUAUUAUUUGUGCUGUUCUCAAUAUGGUAUUUUACUCGUAAUUUUCGUAUUUUUGAGAUUUGCAAUUAUCUCACUCACCCCCCUACACACACACACACACACACACCUGGCCUGUGAGGUCCAUUCUUGACCAUUACCUAUUAAAGUCUGCAUCAUCAUUGGGUUUACUUUCACUUGUACAUUUCUAGUUGUGUUGAACAUCUUGUUGACAGGCUCCUCAUAUUUCUAGAGAGUAUAAUGAAAUGAGAUGUAAUAUUGCCAGUGUAUAAUGUAGAUUUAGUACAUGAGACUGAGUCCAGCUAGGGUGGAGGUAAAAGUGUGAAUGUGUUGCAAAGUGGCAAUAAAAGUUUGUUUAGUAAGUAAUAUAAUGGUGGUGUCUUGGGGCCUAGGGGGGCAGAUAGGUUUAUGAAGGUAUCUUAGUUCAAGGAUUGGAGUGGUAAGUUGACUUGUAGUGUGUGUGAGUCGGUCAUAUACAGUACUGUGUCACUCAACCCAUAUUAAUAAACUACUCCUGCAAGAUCUUACUACCUCACUAAAUGAGAAUAGUAUAAAGGAUUACACAAAAUACCUCUGUAAUCAACAGUGAACCUGGUUUUUUAGCAGCCACUACUUGAUCAUAAGUAAUACAGUACUAAGUACGUACUGUGCUUCUUUUAUUAUGGUUUCUGUUUUAUUGGAAGACUUUUGUGGAUGUCGUAUUGUCUACUUAUUUUUCCCUAUUCAGUGUAUGUUGUUAUCUUGGCUUACCUUUGUACUGAAGCCAAAUAUGGUUUUACUAAUCACACUAUCAUGUCUAUAGACAUCACAGCUUGUACUAUCUAGUUGUCAACUUACGCUGACCACCAUUGCUAGCCAAUACAAAGUAAAGAUAGAUUGGCCAUACUGCCAUUCUUAAACUGUAUUACCAGUUUCUUAAAGCAUGUUCUACUAUUCAGCACUGGUAAUUCUUUUACCAACUAAUACAGUACUCAUCUAAAUAGCACCACUUGUUAACUAAGUAUUACCUUCUAUUGCAAGUUUUUCCUUGUGCAUUAUUCCCCAUAAAAUAUUUCAAGUGUUACUGUGUUCUUGUACAGUAUUCAGACUUUAUAAAGGGGAGGAAAUAACCGGGCGAGUCUUGCCUCACCAGACAUUCCAGCAGCAUUAACUCCCUGUGCAUUGUUCUGCCACAGUGUCUAGCUGUACCUCCUACACCAGUGACCCUACAAACAUUUUUCUGGGGUAGGGUGUUGUAUUCUGCUCCUGUGAGUCCUUCAGCUAUUUGUAUGAGGGAGAUAAAAGACGGUGGGGUGUUACUGAAGGUGCUCGCUCGUGUCUGGUGGACACGAGUGACACUCUUAAAUCAGUCCCCUUCAUAAUCUUAUAAACAACCUUCUCACUAGGACAGAUAACUUUUGUUUUAUGUCUGUAUAAGCCAAAGUUUCAUUAAAAUAUUGUGUCAGUCAUAUAAUUGUUAAUUAAUAGACUACCUGUGUAUGCCAGUUAAUAGAUUUAUACUGAAGUUCAGUGUUGUCUUACUCUGCAUUGUCUGCAGAGAAGUGAACCAUAGAACUUGAGCCAGUGUUUGUUGUCUCUCAUCUUGUUACAUGCAAUUUUUUACAGCUUUUUGUGUAUUCAGAGUUUUCUGAAUUUGAGUGCCGCCAUCGCUGAAUGUUUUCAUCCAUAUUUCAGUCUGUUUAGAUCAAUAAAAUGAGGCCUAUCAAUAAAGAUUUUAGUUGUUUUUGUUUUUUA
rnacentral:lncRNA from 1 species